AUUAGCUCAGGUGGUUAGAGCGCACCCCUGAUAAGGGUGAGGUCUCUGGUUCAAGUCCA
rnacentral:tRNA from 4 species